rnacentral:rRNA from 1 species
AACGAACGCUGGCGGCAUGCCUAACACAUGCAAGUCGAACGAGAGCCUCCGGGCUAGUGGCGCACGCGUGCGUAACACGUUUGUAUCUGUCCUUAUUUUCGCCAUAUCUCAUCUCCAUACGUGUUCAUACAGCAUAAUGUCUUCGGACCAAAGAUUUAUCUCCCUUGGGUGUGCCCCCGUUGGAUUUUUUAUUUGGUAGGGUAAAAGCCUCUAACGGGGUCUAUCCAUAGCUGGGCUGAGAGAAUGUUCAGCCACACUGGGAGUCAGACACGGACCAGACUCCUACGGGAGGAAGAAGUGGGGAAUAUUGGACAAGGGGGGCAAGACUGAUCCAGCAAUGCCGAGUGAGUGAUGAAGGCCUUAGGGUUGUAAAGCUCUUUAAACCGGGAGGAUAAUGACAGUACCGGGAGAAUAAGCGCCGGCUAACUCCGUG